CUAACAUUUAUUGGGAGAGCUGUGUGCUGGAAAUAAAUAUACUCAGUACAGUAAUAAGAGAACUCCAGGAAUGCAGUUGGGAUAAAUCAUUCCUCUAGCGUUUCCUAGGCCCGAAAUUCUUUGCCAGAACUGUGUUUUAAUGGAACCUUCCAAUGAACUACGAGAAAAGGACACACUAAUUUUUGGAAAGCACGAACAAAAAAGAAAUGCAACCCAAACGAAGUAAGAGCAUAAAUGCCUCAGAGUCUUUCAGUUAAGGUGGUUUCAAAGUAUACAUGGAUGGCAGGUUUGCAAUUUUGAAAAUCAAUUGUCAUCUGGAGGGCCCCCCUCUAGUGUUUCCUUGAGGAGGCUUCACGCCCUCAAGAAGUCCCAGAGGAAGGUCAGUGAGAUCAGGCCAUUUCCUUGUUCUCUCGUAGGGUUCUCCCUGGACCCUCGGGGCCUGCAGAGCGUAAGCUCUUGCUGUGGGCCUUGGGCGCUCUCCCUGGGGCAUCGCCCUCCAGUCGCUCCGCGCGCUCCUGGAAAACCGUUCAGGAGAUGCACAUGCGCUCGCACUAGGCUUCAGGUCCCGGGUGAGCUUAGCGCUCCAACCACCCACUGAGUGGAGCACUGUUCACGCAGUGCGCAUGCGCUCGUGCUGGGCUUUGGGCCUUCCGACCCGCGCCAGGAGCCUCCAACCCUCCUGCCGAACGUGCUCAGGGGAUGCGCAUGCGCGAGCGCGGCCAAGCGUUGAGGUCGCAGUGGCGGUUAGAGUCCGUUAUCAAAAUCAGAGGAGGUCUGAUGGGCCAAAACCUCUUCCACACAAAUCCACCUGAGAAACAGCUGGGAAGCCACAUGUACUGCUGGCUGCUCUGGGAUAGACCUGAUGGGUAAGAGAAUCCUCUUUUAUGGGGUCCAGCCUUUGAAAACCUGCAGAACCUCUACCCUCUGCUACUGUUUUCCCCCUCGUUGUGUGUAAUACUGGCUAACAGGCAGGGCAGCUGUGUCACUAAUUUUAAACCCACUUACUCCGGCAGGGAAACCUGAGGCUUUGGUACUUGACAGGACU
rnacentral:lncRNA from 1 species